rnacentral:ncRNA from 14 species
GUUUAGCUAAGUAGGUAGAGCGUUCGUCUCAUAAGCGAAAGGCCGCCAGUUCGAUCCUGGCAGU